AUGAGAGUACACACUUUUCCAUUAACCAAACACCUAGUGUGAAAUAUGUUUUCCUGUUGUUCUAGGCUUUCUUUCUUAACCUGCAUAUUCAGAGCACGCCUAGCAACAAGCAUCUCACAAUGUGCAGCAAGCAACACAUUAUUAACCAACACAUCCGAAUCAUCACAGUCAUUAUUGCAAAUUAAGAGUUCUUUGAGGUAUUCUUGUAGAAGUGGAAGCUUGUGAGACAUUCAAACUCUCCAUAGUUUUAGUUAACCUCUCAAGAGUCUUAUUGAGCCUUUGUAACUCACCACUGACUGACUUUUUAAAGAGCUUAUAAUCGUUACCCAUAUUCGAUUCACUUCCAUCAGUACGAUCCACCACAUUCUUGUCUUUACUCAUCCUACUUUAAAUCAACAAAGAACAAAAAGAACUAGCAAAUAUUGUGUUAAAAAAGAAAGUACUCAAGUGUUUGCACUCUUACCAUUCUUUUGCUGAUUCUUCAAUUGCACUUCAGAAACUAAGGUCAACCAACUAACCACAAGGUGCGUUUAAUGAAACAAAGAAGAAAACCUAAAGAAAGAAGGAAGCGCGCAAAAACUAGAAAGAAGACACUGACAAUUUGGAAAGUAACACAUGAACUAGGUUUUGUGCUACUUGAAAAAUAUUAUCUAGAGUAUAGACACAAGCAAACAAUACUCCAGCAAUGUAAAGGAAGCAAAAGCAAGCUUAAACAAAAAAAAGAAACUUAGAAAUAAAAUAAAAACGUACCUGGACAAAAAAAUUUGCAUUUAAUUCACUUCAACGCAAAUUAAAUAUGGAUCUACUUUAAUCUAUCCAAAAAGGAAAGUAUCAAAACCCCACAAAUAGAAUCAGAAAAGAAAAAUAUAAAUUUCACUCAGAUCAGAAACAUGGACGAAAAUUCUGGUGUUAAAAGAAGGAUUUGACAUCAAAUCAAUUUAGAUGCAAUUGCCCUAAAUGUGCACUUUAGGAAAUAGGCAGAAUUUCUUUUAUCUCCUAAUCUGGAUUCGACCCAAUUCAAAAUUCAAAAUUCAAAUUGAUUCCCAUAAAUUACUGCAAUUAAUUGAGAUAGGUAAGGCAAUAUAGAUGAAAAAGGAAGCAUAUCACAAUUUCGGCCAGAUCAAGGUAAAUAAGGC
rnacentral:lncRNA from 1 species